CCUACGGGUGGCAGCAGUGGGGAAUAUUGCACAAUGGGGGAAACCCUGAUGCAGCGACGCCGCGUGAGUGAAGAAGUAUUUCGGGGUGUAAAGCUCUAUCAGCAGGGAAGUAAAUGACGGUACCUGAUUAAGAAGCCACGGCUAACUACGUGCCAGCAGCCGCGGUAAUACGUAGGGGGCAAGCGUUAUCCGGAUUUACUGGGUGUAAAGGGAGCGUAGACGGCAGGACAAGUCUGCAGUGAAAUGUCCGGGCUUAACCCGGGCCCUGCAUCGGAAACUGUGCAGCUAGAGUGCAGGAAAGGUAGGUGGAAUUCCUAGUGUAGCGGUGAAAUGCGUAGAUAUGACGAGGAACCCCAGUGGCGAAGGCGGCUUGCUGCAGUGGAACUGACGUUGAUGCUCGAAAGCGUGGGUAGCGAACAGGAUUAGAUACCCUAGUAGUC
rnacentral:rRNA from 1 species